CAGCACCGCGGUAAUACAGAGGGUGCGAGCGUUAAUCGGAUUUACUGGGCGUAAAGCGUGCGUAGGCGGCUUUUUAAGUCGGAUGUGAAAUCCCUGAGCUUAACUUAGGAGUUGCAUUCGAUACUGGGAAGCUAGAGUAUGGGAGAGGAUGGUAGAAUUCCAGGUGUAGCGGUGAAAUGCGUAGAGAUCUGGAGGAAUACCGAUGGCGAAGGCAGCCAUCUGGCCUAAUACUGACGCUGAGGUACGAAAGCAUGGGGAGCAAACAGGAUUAGAUACCCCCGUAGUCCCUGUCUCUUAUACA
rnacentral:rRNA from 1 species